AACGAACGCUGGCGGCAUGCCUAAUACAUGCAAGUCGAGCGGUUGACGGGAGCUUGCUCCCUGAUUCAGCGGCGGACGGGUGAGUAAUGCCUAGGAAUCUGCCUAUUAGUGGGGGACAACGUUUCGAAAGGAACGCUAAUACCGCAUACGUCCUACGGGAGAAAGCAGGGGACCUUCGGGCCUUGCGCUAAUAGAUGAGCCUAGGUCGGAUUAGCUUGUUGGUGAGGUAAUGGCUCACCAAGGCGACGAUCCGUAACUGGUCUGAGAGGAUGAUCAGUCACGCUGGAACUGAGACACGGUCCAGACUCCUACGGGAGGCAGCAGUGGGGAAUAUUGGACAAUGGGCGAAAGCCUGAUCCAGCCAUGCCGCGGGUGUGAAGAAGGUCUUCGGAUUGUAAAGCACUUUAAGUUGGGAGGAAGGGUUGUAGAUUAAUACUCUGCAAUUUUGACGUUACCGACAGAAUAAGCACCGGCUAACUCUGUGCCAGCAGCCGCCGUAA
rnacentral:rRNA from 1 species